rnacentral:rRNA from 1 species
AUGGGGCAUGCCUGUUCGAGCGUCAUUUGUACCUUCAAGCUCUGCUUGGUGUUGGGUGUUUGUCUCCUGUAG